CCUACGGGUGGCAGCAGUGGGGAAUAUUGCACAAUGGGGGAAACCCUGAUGCAGCAACGCCGCGUGAGUGAGGACGUCUUUCUGUAUGUAAAGCUCUAUCAGCAGGGAAUCGAAACGAAGGUCCCUGACACAUACGCCCCGUCUAACUACGUGCCAGCAGCCGCGGUACUACGUAGGGGGCAGGCGUUAUCCGGAUUUACUGGGGGUAAAGGGAGGUUAGACGGAAAGGGAAGUCCGAAGUGAAAAACCAAGGCUCAACCAUGGGACUGCUUUUGAAACUGUCAAACUAGAGUACGGGAGAGGUAAGAGGAAUGCGUAGUGUAGCGGUGAAAUGCGUAGAUAUUAGGAAGAACACCAGUUGCGAAGGCGUCUUACUGGACCGAAACUGACGUUGAGGCUCGAAAGCGUGGGGAGCAAACAGGAUUAGAUACCCUGGUAGUC
rnacentral:rRNA from 1 species